rnacentral:tRNA from 1 species
GCCAGUGUGGCAUAGUGGUUUGAGCACUGGACUACGACUGGAGACCAGGGUUCGAUUCCUGCUCAGCCA